AGAGUUUGAUCAUGGCUCAGAACGAACGCUGGCGGCAGGCCUAACACAUGCAAGUCGAGCGCCCCGCAAGGGGAGCGGCAGACGGGUGAGUAACACGUGGGAACGUGCCCUAAGGUACGGAACAACUCCGGGAAACUGGAGCUAAUACCGUAUGUGACCGAGAGGUGAAAGAUUCAUCGCCUUGGGAUCGGCCCGCGUCUGAUUAGCUAGUUGGUGGGGUAAUGGCCUACCAAGGCGACGAUCAGUAGCUGGUCUGAGAGGAUGAUCAGCCACACUGGGACUGAGACACGGCCCAGACUCCUACGGGAGGCAGCAGUGGGGAAUAUUGGACAAUGGGCGAAAGCCUGAUCCAGCAAUGCCGCGUGAGUGAUGAAGGCCUUAGGGUUGUAAAGCUCUUUUACCCGGGAAGAUAAUGACUUACCGGAGAAUAGUAGAUCCCGAG
rnacentral:rRNA from 1 species